UUAAAGCGGUACGUGAGCUGGGUUUAGAACGUUGUGAAACAGUUUGGUCCCUAUCUACCGCGAUUUGAAUUGCAGGUGGGCACCCUAGUACGGGAGGAUCGGGUGCCACUGGCCUAUUGUGACCGGUUGUUUUUGAUGUUUCUUUAGCAUUGCCGGGUAGCUACGCCGGUGGGGAUAACCGCUGAAAGCAUAUAAGCGGGAAGCCCCCCCUAAAACAUUCUUGGGAAGUAGCAGAAGACUACAUAGGCGUGAUCGUUUUAUCCUGAAAGG
rnacentral:rRNA from 1 species